CCUACAGAAAACAAAAUACCAAGAUCAAGGAUGCAUUUUCUAAGCAGCUAGGGAAGCAUGUCAAGAAGUUUCCAGAAACUUGCUGAUAUAAUCAGGAAGGAGCAAUGCUUUGAGAAUCAAAGGCUCAAUUCUGCCUAUAUGACAACAUGCUGUUACAUUUUAAAUUUCAUGCUCAUUUCUCACAUGAUUUAUUUUGCUAAUAAAACCAUGAAAUUCCUAAAGUCAUAUGGAUAAAGGAAUGUUGCAACUUCGGCUUUCAUACUAAAUUUUUUAUGGGAUUUGAAAAGAUUAAAAUUGUUAUAUACUAUGUGUAUCAAUGUGUGUGUAAUUUAUUGAAACUUAGCUUUUUCACUUAGCAAUGUGGCAAGUGUUUCCAUGUCAAUACAUAUCCUAGAGCAUCAGUCACACAAGCUACAGAUAUUCAACUAGAGAGGGGAAUUCAUUUUUAUUGAUCUAUUAUUGGAAGGAGAACUUAUUUCUAAUUUUCCCUUACAUUAAAAAUAAUAGCAAUAAAAAUCUUUAUGUAUAUACAUAUUCACACAUACACUCAAUUCUAGGUUUAUCUCCUCAAAAUCAAAUCCUCGAAGUAGGUUUGUCAGAUAAAAAGGUAUAUACAUUUAAAAAGAGAUAAGUAGUCAAAUCGCCCUUCCAGAAUAUUGUACCAGUCUCUAAGUUCCAUAUUUUUUUCAGUGAAAGAAAUGCUUACAUGGGUAAAUAAACUCCAAUUUUUUCAAUGAGAUAAAUACAUAUACAGAUAAAUUACAUUCAGACUAAACAAUAUAAUAACUAUCUACCAUGUGCAAAUGCAACAUCUAAGCUAAUAGGAUCUAGUUAUCAUUGUUUGCCACUCUAGGCCUUAGUGACAUAGGGUUGUCUGUACUCCCACGUGUUCUCUAAGUAGGCAGGUGGUAUGGGGGGUCAAAGUCUAAAAGUGCAGGGAUAGGCGGGGGCGGAGCCUUCGAUCGUCCACGAGUCGCCCUCUUCAGCUGGGUGAUAUCCUCUUCCAUUCUGAUUUUCUAAGGCAGUUGAUGAUCCCUGGAAAAUGCGCCUCAAAAUUAUUAGGCACGUUUAAAUAGAAAAUGUCAUGAUUGGGAACUUUCAUGCUAAAAAAACAAAACUGAAUGUGUUAAGAAAUAAGAUGCCUUGGUGUAUCAGCUCCUUAAGCUUUGAGAAAAUAGGAACUCAUUUCAUUCACGCGUUCAUUCAUUCAGUAGAUGUGUAUUCAGUGCUUAUCCGGCGGGGUUGGCAGCAGUGAGCUAGACAGAUAUUCUCCUUGCCUGCUGGAGCUCACGUCUCAGGAACUACGGGAUCACAAAUUUAAUAGCACCUAUGACGUACUGUGUGCUGUGUAAGGCUAUAACAGGAGAAGUAAAGUAAGUGGGGGGGGGGGGCAACUGACAUCUUCUCUGAGCAACUUUUGAAGGAUGAGGAAUUAACUAGAUCAAAAAAGUGAGAGAGUUCCCUGGAAGCUCAGCGGGUUAAGGAUCCAGCUUUAUCACUGCGUGGCCCAGGUCACUGCUGUGGCAUGGCUUUGAUCUCUGGCCUGGAGACACACAUGCCAUCUGCAUGGCCAAAAAAAAAAAAAAAAAAAAAAAAAAAGUGGGAACUCAGGCAGCUCCUCCAGAGUUUAAACAGAGUUACCGUAUGACACAGCAAUUCCCCAACUAGGUAUGACAGUCUUCCAUACAAAAUCUAACACCCAAAUGUUCACAGCAGUAUUAUUCCUAAGAGGCAAAAAGUGGAAAUAAUUCAGAUGCACAUCAACUGAUGCUGGAUACAUAAAUGACACAUAUGCUCAUACAACGGACUAUUCUCCAGCAAGAAAAAGGAACGGCGUCGUGACCCGGGCUACAACAUGGGUGAACCUUGACGAAGCUACGCUAAGUGACAUCCAGCAGACACAAAAGGCCACAUGGCACAUAUGGUGCGUGUCUAGAAGAGACAGAUCUAUAAAGACAGAAAGUAAAUCGGUGCCUGUCUGGGCUGGGGAUGAGGAGCUUGGGAGGAAAUGUGGAGUGGCCGCUAAUGGAGAGAGGGCUUCUGUUGGGGGUCAUGAAAAUGUCCCCAAAUUGACUGGUGACAGCGUGCACAACUAUAAACAUAUGAAAAGCCACUGAGUUCAACAAUCUGAGUGGGAGAAUUGUAUGGGAUGUGAAUCUCAAGAAAGCUAUAUAUGUGAAAGAAAAAAAGAAAAGAGAGCAACUCUGGAGAUUCAUUAAUCACCAUUAGGUGAGGCCCACAGAGAAAGUAGCAGGAAUUGGUUUCCUCUGCCGUGGGCUCCCUGGAAACUCACUUUCCUGUAGACAAAUGAGAAUAAAGUUGAUCAAAUUUUACGUCAGUCUAGUCACUUUACUGCAUGACAUUUUAGCUGCGGAAAAACCCAGGGGAGCCUACUGUAAGAUCUUUGAUCAACGGGCCCGUGUCUUGCACGGCUCUCCCUUGUUUUCUGCAUAUGUUAUGCCGCAGCCACAAAGGAGAUGACGGUGGGGUCACUUAAUUUAAAAAUGGAUAAAGAUCUGCAUAGCAUACAAUCGUCUACACCAAACCUUCAGAAAAUGUUCACAGCCUUAGGCGGUCACUGAAUCUUCUAGAGGAUUUUCCUUUGGCUUUAGUUCAGGGAGCGACGGCCACACAAGUUGGGACCCACAAGCACAGUGCCUUCUUCUACAUUUUCAUUAUUACUAUUAUUAUUGUUUUGCUUUUUAGGGCCACACCCAAGGCAUAUGGAAGUUCCCAGGCUAGGAGUCAAAUUGGAGCUAUAGCCGCCGGCCUACACCACAGCCACAGCAAUCAGGAUCCAAGCCGCAUCUGUGACCUACACCACAGUUCACGGCAACGCUGGAUCCUUAACCCCAGAGCAAGGCCAAGGGUCGAAUCCACAUCCUCAUGGAUACCAGUGAGGUGCUUACCCUGCUGAGCCACAACGGGAACUCCUUAAUUAAAUACCGAAUCAGGAUUCUUCUAAAGGAGGGGAAAAAAUUCCUCAAACCACUGUUUAGUUUUUUUAAAGGUAGGAUUUAUGAAUUAAGCAACUAAUAAUGAUUCUGGGAGGUGCAAGUGACCUAAGAAUUUAGGUCUUGAUGAAGGGGAUUGCUUCCAAAAUACAAAGCAAAAUGCUGUAGAUCUAUAGCUAUCAAAUUGGCAAGGUCUAAGUACCUGGGGACAGAUGAGAAGGCCUCUUAACAGUAGACAAACUUUUGGGUUUCUUCUGAACUUAUUUUAGGAGUUCCCUGGCAGCUCAGCAGGUGCAGGAUCCAGCAUUGUCACUGCUGUGGCUUGGGUCACUGCAGUGGCAAGGGUUUGAUCCCUGGCCCGGGAACGUCUGCAAGUUUAUUCUUGCCAAGAUCUCAGCGGGAUAUCACUCUGUAUUUGAAGCUGACGCGAGAUUCCCUUUGAACUGUCCUCAGAUUUUUCCUUUUUCUUCAUAGUGUUCUCUUUUUUUUUUAAAGAGGAAAAAAAUGUAAAUUGAUUUUCCUUCUGCCUUAAAAACUUAUACAAAUAAACUGGAAGGAAAUAUACCAUAAAAUAGUGGUUGAAUCUAGUUUAGAGGAGCGUGUUUUCAAAAUUUUCUGCAAUGAAGUUUUAUUACAUCUGGGUCAGAGCAUGAAAAUAUGUGCCCUUGAAUUUCUCUAGGAGAGUCAACUGCUUAUGUGCUUCUCAUUUCAAGAUAGCAUCUGGAAUUCUAGUUGUUCUAAUGCCCAAGUCCUCUCUCUACUUAUGACAUCAUAGAGCAUGGGUUUGGGAGUCAAACAAACGAAGGUUUAAAUCUCUACUUUGGCUGACAAGAAGAGAACUGAUAUAAGAUGCUGGCUCUUGAGCCAAAACCAACUCCGGAGAUGAAACAAAAACAAGACAGGAGUUGAUUGCCCUCAGAUCUUAAAAACUGUGAAAAACUUUGGGAGAGACAAAUAUGGCAGGGCAAGAAAGAGCAGGCAGGAGCAAAAGUGGACCAAGUACUUGAGGGGAGGAAAAUGUGCAGGAAUUCUACUUCUGGUGGGGGGGGGGGGGCAAAACAGCAACUCUGGGUACUGGAAUGAGCAGAAAACAAUGAAGUCGGUCUCUGGGCAGCCCCUCCCCCAACCCCGCCCGCUGGAGAAAGUUCCUCCAACUGGGACAGGUCGAUCUUUCUCUGGCAAACAUACAGGGAAGUUCCCGAGGGAUAGAGGACAUGGGGAGAGGAUGGGACCACUUUGCAAGGAACUAGGUUUCCCACUUGAACCACACCCCCACAGCGAGACUACGCUAUAUGAUACCACAAUGAUGGGUACAGACACAUUUGUCAAAAUCCACAGACUAUUCCAAUGUAAACUGUGAGCUUUGAGUGUUAAUGAUGUAGGUUCAUUGAUUGCAACAAAAGUACUGCUGUGGUCCAGAAUGUCCAUGAUGGGGGUGGUUUGGAAAUAAAGAAAUGAGGUUAUGUGGGAACUCUGUACGUUCCACUCAAUGUUGCUGUGAACCUAAAGCGCCUAUAAAAAAGUCAAGCUCAUUGAUGUAAAAAGGAGGGUUUAUCACAAUAAUUUGAAAUGCUCUCUUGAUACCUUCCCUUAAGGAAAUCCCUAUUGCCCACAACAAUCAUCACCAAUGACCUCCUUUAGUAAUGGACCCACACGGUCAGGUUCAACAUUCCGCAGCACCCAUAUUUCAUGAAUAUAUAUGUCGUUCUUCCCAUUUAUCUCGUCUUAAUUCUGCCCUUACCCCCGUGCAUCUUAGCCUGCCCAUUCGAUGCUGUAAUUAUUAGCUGCUUUGGUAAUAAGGUAUAAAUCACUUUUUAUGGCUUCUUCACCAUGUUUCUGCUAACAGCUACCAAACCAUGUUAACGUGACAUUAUACACUCCAAAGGGAGGGACAUGACCCCACCACACACUUCCCAAAGAUUUAUUACACGGCUGGACCGCUAGGUCGAGGAACCUCUUCAGCUUACAGCACCAGGAGCUUAAUAUGUCCUGCUCUCCCUGGCCAGCAGCCCUUCAGGAAAAUGUCAGUGUAGGAAACCCGGGUAGUGUGGAAUCAGUUAAAACGUCUGACUUUUUAAAAAAGGAGAUGAUAUAUCUCCC
rnacentral:lncRNA from 1 species